GUGUCAGCCGCCGCGGUAAUACCAGCACCCCGAGUGGUCGGGAUGAUUAUUGGGCCUAAAGCAUCCGUAGCCGGUGUAACAAGUCCUCCGUUAAAUCCACCUGCUUAACAGGUGGGCUGCGGAGGAUACUGUUACACUAGGAGGCGGGAGAGGCGAGGGGUAUUCCACGGGUAGGGGUAAAAUCCUCUGAUCCGUGGAGGACCACCAGUGGCGAAGGCGCCUCGCCAGAACGCGCUCGACGGUGAGGGAUGAAAGCGGGGGGAGCAAACCGGAUUAGAUACCCGGGUAGUCCCAGCCGUAAACGAUGUAGGCUCGGUGAUGGACUGGCUCCGAGCCAGUCCAGUGCCGCAGGGAAGCCGUUAAGCCUACCGCCUGGGGAGUACGGCCGCAAGGCUGAAACUUAAAGGAAUUGACGGGG
rnacentral:rRNA from 1 species